UACGUAGGGUCCGAGCGUUGUCCGGAAUUACUGGGCGUAAAGAGCUCGUAGGUGGUUUGUCACGUUGUUCGUGAAAACCCACAGCUCAACUGUGGGCGUGCGAGCGAUACGGGCAGACUAGAGUACUGCAGGGGAGACUGGAAUUCCUGGUGUAGCGGUGGAAUGCGCAGAUAUCAGGAGGAACACCGGUGGCGAAGGCGGGUCUCUGGGCCAUUACUGACGCUGAGGAGCGAAAGCGUGGGGAGCGAACAGG
rnacentral:rRNA from 1 species